AUGCAGGGGUUUGUCCUUGGAACUAGCUUGCUGCCAUCUGUAGUGGAGAUGAGUCACAUCACCCCAGAGGGCUACUAGGAGGAGGUGAGCAGAUGUGUGGAAUCCGGCCCUGUCACACAGACCUAGCACUUUACACCCUAGCUGAGUCCCCUGCUAAAGAGAGGGCCUGCCCUCUGCCUUCCACCCUCAAUUCUCUGCCCCCCACCCACAGGACUGCCCCACCUAGGGAGGGCUUAGGUUGGGGAGCACCUGUGGACACUCUGAUGCUGGCCACAGGCCCAGGGCCGGGGAUGACAGUGACAAGGACCUGAGUGUGUACAUGAAUGGGGCCAUCUGGCCCAGCCAUAGAAGCAACACACCAUAUGCACACGUGUUCACCCACAUAUGUGUGCACACUCACGUUCACACACUGCAUGCACAUAUGUCGAUGCUUUGGGGGUGGAGGAUGCUGACUCUGGGCCCUGCUGACCCAGGCGGGGGCCCGUUGUGAUGGGUGUCAUGACCCCGCAAUGUCACUGGUGCUGAGUCCCUGCCGCCUACCUGGCUGCCUUCUGUGCCUGGACCUCUUGGAGACAAGACACACAGCAGUGUCUGGUUCUGUGCAGAGGAGGCUUUCCUAAGUGAGAAGCACAGCUGGAUCAGCAGACUCAGGUGAGUGUGACCUGCUGUGUUCCCUCCCUGUUGACCUGGGACAGUCGCUACCUGGUGGGCGGUGCUGGCCUCAGGGCGGGUGCUGAGGAGGGUCAUCCCUGAGCACUCACCAGGUGCCCGUUCUGCACUGAUGGUAUAGAUGUUUGUCUCGUUCGUUCUCACAGUAACUCUGGGGGGUAGGUGCUGUCCCCUAAUGUACUCAUUCCACAGGUGAGAUCUAGGGUCAGAGAGGCAGUGACUGGCCCAGGGACCCAGAUGUGACCCUGGGCCGUGCUCUUAGCCAUGCUCUGUGCUGUGCUUGACUAAAGCCCUGACCUCUGUGGCCUCCCUGCCCUGGAUUCCAAAUCUGCCUGGGGUUCCAGCCCCUGAAAGGGCAGAGUCUGGCCCUGGAAGGGCCACUGGGACAGAGCUCCUAUGGGUGGGGUGGAGAGGGUGGUCCUCUGUCCAAGUCGGUGCCCUAAGCUGGGACCCCGCAGGAGGAGGUCUCACCAACUCAGACCUCAUGUGCAGUCACUGAAGGCCAUUGUGGGAACCACUGGACACAUGGGAUCCCUUGUCUGGGAGUGGGGUGAAGAGCCCUCUGCCCUUGGGCAGUUGAGUAGGGGACUUUGAGCACUGCUGCUCUGGGACCUGGGCAGUGGCGACCUAGCCAGCAGAGUCCUGGCCAAGGAGGUGUGGUCAGUGGGGGAUUUGGUCGUCAUGGGUCGGGUUAGUGGGGGCCUGGUCAGCAGAGACUUGGACACUGGGGCUUAGUGAAAGUGUGAUCAAUGGGGAAAUAGUCAAGGGGCCUGCUCAGCAGGGCCUGGCUAGCAGAGGCCUGGCCAGCUGGCCACUGGAUGACCUCAGACAGAGGCUUUGUCCUUGGAGCCUCUUUGCCUCUAUUCAUAGUGGGGAUGAGUCAUGGCAUCCCUGAGCACUCACCAAGUGCAGGUUCUGUACUGACCUUGUAGAUGGCCUUUUCCUUCAUCCUCACAGCAACUCCGUGGGUGGAUGCUGUCCCCAAAUGUAGCCAUUCCACAGGUGAGAUGUCUAGAGUCAGAGAGGUAAUGACUGGCCCAGAGACGCAGAUGUGACCCUGGGCUGUGCUCUCAGCCCUGCCCUGUGCCAUGCUGGACUCAAGCCCUGACCUCUGCAGCCUCCCUCCCUUAGAUCCCAGCCUCCCUCCCUUCGAUUUCCCUGGGGUUCUGGACCUUCAUGGGUUGGAGGGGGUGAUUCUCAGUCUAAGUCUGUGCCCGAAGCUGGGUCCCCACAGGAGGAGGUCUCACCAACUCAGACUUCAGGUGCGGUCACUGAUGGUCCCCAUGAGCCCCCCUGGACACAUGGGGUCCUUCAUCUGGGAGUGGGGUGGGGAGCCCUCUGCCCUUGGGCGGUUGUGGAAAAUGAAGGAGCUCUAGAGGGCUGCCUGGAGGGUGACGAUUGUCUCUCCUGGUCAAAGGGGCUUAGGGACUGGAACCUUCUCUGUCUGAUGCUCUAGAGACCUUGUCCUCCCUUUGUCCCAGGUAUUCCCAAGGAGGAUGGUCCCCCUGGGUGUUCUCCAGGCCCCAGGCCCCAGAGUUCUCUUGUUUUUUUCUUGGUGAUCCAGGAAAACAAAGCCCGCUCCCGUACUGACAGCUGGGAAUUGCGGAGUCCGCCGUCCUCCACCUCAGACGGGGUUUCCACGAGCAACGAGGCUGCUUUGAACUCAAUAGAAAACUGAGCAUCUUCGUGGUCCCAGAAGGAUCUCAGAAGGCUGAUCCUAAAGAGACGUCUGGUUCCUGACCCCAACUGCCUCCAGGUGCCCGGAACAGCCCAUCGUGGGCCCUUUACCCUCAGCAGGUGGAUGCUGUUUGUCCUGCCAGGGCAGGAUGGAGAUGGAUGAGGACCCGGAUAUCCUGCCCACCCAGGGACAAGGCAACAUCAUCAUUACUAAGUAUGGGGACGCUGAGCUGGGGCAGCAGUGGACAUGGAGCAUGAGCAUGUUGACAUCUGGAAAUUCGCCGGUCGCCUCUGGGUUAUGUGGUGAGUCCUCUGUCCCCCCACCCACCAGUCUCACUUCAGGGACGGGUUUUGUUUUUAGAAAGGUCUCUCUGAGUUAGGGCAGGUUUCCCCGGCUCAGGCCAAUGUCCUCUCCAGGAUCAGAACUCCUCCCUGCCUCUCCUACAGGUCCAGCCCGUGGUCAGGGUUAGGGCAGAGCCUCAAGGCCCAUCUAGGGAGCUCGGGAGAGUGAGUGGGAAAGAGAGGGGCUGGGUCAGCCCCAGGGCUCUCAGCACUGAGGUCUCCACAUGAGUAGGAGAGAAGGCGGCAGCCUGUGGGUCUGGCCCUGUCCCCUUGGGGCUUGCCCUGGUGAGAUCUGAGGGUGGUGGCCACAGGGCAAGGGGACACCUGGCCAGGCCUAUGGGCAGUUGUGUAGCAGGUCUCCAAGGGCUCAGGGGGCCCAGCUGAGGCAUCCUAUAGGGAGGGGCAUGGGGACAGCAAGGGCUGUGACCCUGGGAGGCUGGGGGAGAAGAAGGGUAAGGCCUGGCCUGGGCAUUUCAUAGUGAGGCCAGGGGGACAACACAGCGUGCAGCUGAAGGCCCCGGGAGUAGUGCUGGGAAAGGACCUGGGCCUGGUAAGGGGAGCCCAGCCUGGAGCCAGCCCCUCCGGACUCACAGGAUGGAGAGAGGGAGGAGCCUGGGGCAGGGGGGUGGGGUGAGCCCAUGAGACCUGCCACUUCUGGAACGUACCUGAACCAAGCUGGCCUAGAGUGGAGCUGAUAGUCUGGGGAGGAAAACAGGUGGGGUGGUCAGGGAACAGCGGCUCACCUGGGACCCCUCAGUGAGGGGACUUGGUCAGUCCCCAAGGCUCUGCGUGGCCCUCCAGAGACUCUGCUUCCCGCUGGCUCAGUCAGCACUGUGCAGGGUGGAUGGGGGGCUGAGUCGGGGCAGACAGGACAAUAGGGGGAGGACAGGCAGGCAUCCCAUGCCCUGGUUUUUGCAGUGGCUGGGAGGAGGCUGAGGGCUGAAAGUCAAUGACCCUGAGAGCUCACUGAGGCUGUAGGUGGGGUGGUGGGGCCAGCUCCACUGCCUGCAGGGCCCUUGGUCACCCUUGUCACCCCAGGCUUCUCCCCAGCAGUGCUGAGCAGCCCAGUUAGAGACCUGGGGGUCUCAUGCCUAGGCUCUGACAGGAAGAGAGUCCGGGAAGGGCCAGGGUGGCUGGAGAUAGGGUCACAGUCUCUGCGUCAGGCAGGAUGGGUGACGAUGGGGAACAGGCAGGGUCAGCGGCCAGGCUGCAGGCAGAGGCAGGUGCACACUGGGAGGUCAGACCCUGCAAGGCCUGUGGGGAGUGUCGGGUGGGAUGGGCUCCAGGUGCAUCCUCAGGGCGCUGGGCAGCUCUCAGGCCAGGCUCCCUGGACUCUGGUGGGUGAUGUGGUCACUCCCGAGGCACUGCAGUCAGUCAGGGCUCAGCCGCCCACCCUAGGCGGCACCCAUCCCGUCUCAGAACUGGACUUUCUCAGCUCCCGCAGAGGGUGUUGCGUCCAGCCCAGGAGGAGCAGCCCCAUUGUGUGGGCCGAGGUACCCCACGGGCCCCAAGUGGCCCCUGCCAGGCCAGCCUUGAGUUCCCUCUUCUCCAGGGUCCUCGUGCCUUGUGGGCGUCAGCUCUAUAGGGAGGCCCUUGCCUUCCUUCCCUGUGCCUUGUCCCGGGAUGAGACUUAGGGUGGAUGGGGAGGGCUGGGGCCCUUUCAUGGACAAGGAUGGCUCCUGGCCCGGGCAGGUCCUCAGCUCUGCCUGGGUUGCCUUACAGUGAGACAGAGCUGCCCAUGUCAAUGCCCUGAAGGUGAAGGUAAGAGCCAGUGCCUGCUGCGUGGGAGGCUGGUCCAGGGACCAGGAAUCAGGAGUGGUCGGUGAGGCAGAGGGGGUGGCCCGUGGGCCCAGGCAGUGGUGAGUGGGCCAUGGCUAUCCCUGGGACGGGCAGCCUUUCCUGAUGGACUCUGUUCCCAUGAGCGUUUGACCAAAACCCAAACCAAGAACCACAAUCUUGGCUCAGAGAUCAUUGCCUGUUUGCACCAAGUCCCCAGCUAAAGGCCAGGGCCCGACCAAAACUCAGGGUGUUUGUGGCCUGAGGAUGGCAUGUCCUGCGAUCACCAGUCCAGACCACCAGCUCCAGUUAGUUCAGAGAGUCUCAGCUCCCAGGGUCUGCUGUGUCCUGGCUCCUUCAGGGCCCUGAAGCCCAGGAUGCAGCAUCCAUGGGCCGCUGCUGGAGGCCUGGCAGCUCCACUAACUCCAUCCUGGUUCAUUUGACAGCAAAGAUGUCAGGAAAUAAAAUGCACUGCCAAGUGGCUGAAAAUACUCGGAGACUGGACAAAUAUAAGAACAGCAGGAAGGUAACAUAACAGCUGGGACUGGUGGCUCAGACCUGUAAUCCCAGCACUUCGGGAGGCCGAGGUGGGCGGAUCACCUGAGGUCAGGAGUUUGAGACCAUCCUGGCCAACAUGGUGAAACCCUGUCUCUACUAAAAAUGCA